CAGACCCCCACCGGAAGGGCUCUCAUCGUCCCCUCCACUCCACUCGUUUCUUUCGCUUCCCGCGGCGAAAGCCCUCGAAGCAGAUAAGGCCUACCGGCUGCCGCCGUGCCCGUGCUCGCGCUCGACCACCGCCGGCCAUGGUCGGCGUCGCCCUCGCGCCGGCAGUGUCCCGCGUGCCUUGCCGUCCCGGCGCUUCCUUCCACGCCUCGCGCCCCUCCUCUUCGGCGCGGCUCCCGGCCAGGCCGCGGGCGCGGGCGCGGGCGCCGCCGGAGAGGCUCGUGGUUGUCGCGCGGUACUCGUCCUCGUACGAGGUCGAGGGCGAGGAGGAGGAGGAAGAUGAGGAAGGGCUCGGGGGUGGCGGAGGCUGGGGGAGGAGGGACCGCGGGCCCGACCCCGACUACGACCCGGCCCUUGACAUCGAACGCAUCGAGUCCUCGACCGUAAGGCUAUUGGACGAACAGAAAAGAAUGGUUGGUGUAGUAUCUGUCAGCGAGGCAGUUCAGAUUGCAGACGAUAAUGAUCUUAUACUGGCAAUAUUAUCAAUGGAUGGGGACCCCCCAGUACUUCGACUCUUUGAUGAGAGAGAUUACAAAAAACAUAGGUAUGAACAACAGAAGAAGAAAAAGAUUCAGCAGAAAAGAUCUGUCGCGAAACGCAUGGGCUUGAAGGAGCUGAAAAUGGGAUACAACAUUGACAUCCAUGAUUACAGCGUGAGGCUUAAAGCUGCAAAAAAGUUUCUUAAAGCUGGCGACAAGGUUAAGAUAAUUGUGAACCUGAAAGGACGGGAAAACUUGUACAAAAAAGAAGCUAUCGAACUCCUUAGAAGAUUCCAAAAUGACGUUGGCGAGCUGGCGACCGAAGAAAGUAAGAAUUUCGCGGAGAGGAAUAUAUAUCUGGUUCUUGUUCCCAAUAAGAUAGCUAUACAGAAAGAACAGGAUGAAUUGAACAAAAAGGGUGCUGUGAGAGAAGAGAAAGACCAAUCAGACAGUGAUGAACCAGAAGAGAACGACCAACCAGACAGCGAUGUACCCCUGACAGAACUGCUGGAGGAAAGUAUGGAACCCGAGGCAGAAGUCUCAGCAAACGUUUGAUUUGAACUGUAGAGGCCAAGGUGCCUGAGAUUGAAACAAGUAUCACGCAGGUACAGUUGCUGUAGAAUUGCAGCUCUCGUAAAUACAAGGCAGGCUGGUUCUUUUGUGCAACAAUUAUAUCUGUUAAACUCCAUCUCCACAAGCUAUCCGAUAGGCGCCAAGGCGUCUGACAAGUAAACAAGGCUUGAUGAUGUAUGUCCUCCAAGUCUCCAACCCCUCAGCAUUGAAGGAUGAUGAUACCUAGGAACUGGAAAUCACCACCCCUCGCAUAAAUGGAUUGAGACAGAGAAAAGUUGAGACGUGUCUAUUUGACAAGUGCACAUGUUAUUGCGAGUUUGAGACCUUGUGUAAGAGCCUACCAUUGUGUUCUGGAAGAGUUAUUCUGUAUAAAAAAGUGGUCUUUGUUUUACCACCUGAAUGCAGGACUUCCUUCCAGGACAGGAUAUAGAUGAUUUUGAUCA